rnacentral:rRNA from 1 species
AGAGUUUGAUCAUGGCUCAGAUUGAACGCUGGCGGCAGGCCUAACACAUGCAAGUCGAGCGGCAGCACAGGGGAACUUGUUCCCUGGGUGGCGAGCGGCGGACGGGUGAGUAAUGGCUGGGAACCUGCCCUGAUGUGGGGGAUAACAGUUGGAAACGACUGCUAAUACCGCAUGAUGUCUACGGACCAAAGAGGAGGACCUUCGGGCUUCUCGCGUCAGGAUGGGCCCAGUUGGGAUUAGCUAGUUGGUAGGGUAAUGGCCUACCAAGGCGACGAUCCCUAGCUGGUUUGAGAGGAUGAUCAGCCACACUGGAACUGAGACACGGUCCAGACUCCUACGGGAGGCAGCAGUGGGGAAUAUUGCACAAUGGGCGCAAGCCUGAUGCAGCCAUGCCGCGUGUGUGAAGAAGGCCUUCGGGUUGUAAAGCACUUUCAGCAGUGAGGAAGGUGGUGUAGUUAAUACCUGCAUCAUUUGACGUUAGCUGCAGAAGAAGCACCGGCUAACUCCGUGCCAGCAGCCGCGGUAAUACGGAGGGUGCGAGCGUUAAUCGGAAUUACUGGGCGUAAAGCGCAUGCAGGCGGUCUGUUAAGCAAGAUGUGAAAGCCCCGGGCUUAACCUGGGAACCGCAUUUUGAACUGGCAGGCUAGAGUCUUGU